rnacentral:misc_RNA from 1 species
GAUGAAGAACGUAGCGAAAUGCGAUAAGUAAUGUGAAUUGCAGAAUUCAGUGAAUCAUCGAAUCUUUGAACGCACAUUGCGCCCGCCAGUAUUCUGGCGGGCAUGCCUGUUCGAGCGUCAUUUCAACCAUCAAGCCCCCGGCUUGUGUUGGGGACCUGCGGCUGCCGCAGGCCCUGAAAUGCAGUGGCGGGCUCGCUGUCACUCCGAGCGUAGUAGUUACAUCUCGCUCUGGGCGUGCUGCGGGUUCCGGCCGUUAAAAGCCUUAUUUACCCUAGGUUGACCUCGGAUCAGGUAGGAAGACCCGCUGAACUUAAGCAUAUCAAUAAGCGGAGGA